rnacentral:pre_miRNA from 1 species
GUAAUAAUCCCUCCGUUCGGAAUUACUUGUCUCGAAAAUGGAUGUAUCUAGAACUAAAAUACGUCUAGAUACAUCCAUUUUUGCGACAAGUAAUUCUGAACGGAGGGAGUAUGAU